AGUGGCACUGUGGCUCAAGUGGUAGCGUGCUAGCCUUGAGCAAAAGCAGCUCAGGGACAGUGCUCAGGCCCUGAGUUCAAGUGCCAGGACUGGCAAAAUAAAGAAAGAACAAAGUGAAACUAAGGGAGUUAGGCAUCCCUGGUGACUCUUGCAUCUACUCUACUUGGUUGCAAGGUGAGCUGUAAAAAGGUACUCAGAGAAAUCUGUCCCAUGUGGUCUCCUCUCCACCUGCCUCCCAGCCCAUCUACAGUGGCUAGAGCUGCAGCAGCAACAAGAAUAAGAACAAUAUGGCUGCUAUUUCCUGUGAACUGUGCAUCAAGUAUCGUUAGAAGGGCCAGCACUAUGUGUGUGGGAGCCAGCUGAGGUCACCUAGGGUUGCUACAGGAGCUCAGAGGGCUCCAGUGGCUGGCUAUGGACCUUGUAUCAGCAUUCAAGGCCUAUUGAGCAGCCCUCAUUUCUUGCUUCUCAUGCCUUGUCCUUGCUUCUUGCCCUCUUGCCUCUCUAGCACACUAGGAUGGCUGCCAGAAAAAAUACAGGACACACAGUGAAAUCUUAAUUUCAGGUAACCAAUGAAUACUUUUAGAAGCAUAUCCCAAAUAAUAUCUUAAUUGGUUAUCUGAAAUUUAAAUUCUAACUCCAUGUUUUUUUUUUGUUUUUAUUUUUUGCCAGUCCUGGGGCUUGAACUCAGGGCCUG